rnacentral:tRNA from 1 species
UCCCUGGAGGACUAGUGGUUAGGCCACAUCGCUUUCACCGCUGCGGCCCAGAUUCAAUUCCUCGCCAGGGAA